UAUUAAAAAAUUCGUCCUUUCCUACUAUUAAAAACUGUCAUAGCUGACAGAAUAACCAAACAAUGACACGUGGCAUAAUACGUGUGCCCAUGCUGACAUAUAGGGACUAAUUUUUAAUAGUAGAAAUGGAAGAAAUUUUUAACA
rfam:Gossypium hirsutum cultivar TM-1 chromosome 10, whole genome shotgun sequence